GCCCCAGUGGCAACUAUAAUUAGAGUUUUACUUGAGAUCAAGUUCCGACUCUGGAAAUGUGCCUCCCAUUUUUAUGACAUCACCGACCUUAAAAUGUACAUAACUGUCAUCAGGAGCAAGCAGAGCCCAGCUCGGCUUCGCUCGUCGCCUUUGUGAUUUCUUCACAAGUUCAAGUGUGAACUGGAAAGAAAUGAAAACCACAAAGCUAACGGACAAUGGCGGCCUGCCUCUUACAGAAUGCAACUUAAAUAUAGAUAUUGCAUCUCUACUGUUAUACAAGAUGAAAGAGAAUCAACAGUCCACAGUGCCUGAUAGUCUAGUCUUUUCCUUCCGGGUGGAGCUACUCAGCCACCUGUCCUAACAGCCAGGGCCACACUGUCCUUUCAGAAGGAGAGACAAGGAGCUGGAGAGAUGGCUCAUAGGUUAAGAGCACUGGGUGUUCUUCCAGAGGACCCUUGUUCAAUUCCUGACAACCACAUGGCAGUUCACAUCUGUCUAUAGCUCCAAGACCUGACACUCUUACACAGACAUACAUCUAGGCAAAACACCAAUGCACACAAAAUAAAAGUAAACACAUUACUUUUUUAAAAAGAAGGAUAACCAAGGCCCUCAAUGUAUCACGUUAAGGAGAGGAAGCAGAAUAUAAGGGGUGGCAUAUAAACAGGACAUUGGCAUGUGGAUAAUGACCAUCUGAACCUGAGGGCUGUCACAUACCCAUCCCCACCCAUCCAAUUACCAGCUAUGUGAAACAUAAAUAACACAUUGUAUAUCCUCUCUGGGACUCACUUCUUCUAUAAAAUAGAAUUUAAAAAAAAAAAAAAAAGAUAGACAGCUCCAGGAGACGACAUAAGAAGUUCACUUCUGACUUACACAUUCAAACACGGGCACAUGUAUAUUCUCUCUCCUGCACAUGUGCACAUAUACACACAUACACACAGUCAUGCACACACACCAUCAUAGGCACACUUGUGCACAUGCACACAUACCUGAAAGGAGAUAGUCCACAGCAUGGUUGGACCCAGAAGAAACCAGUCUUUAAU
rnacentral:lncRNA from 1 species